AGGCUGUGCGUGAGGAAAGUCCGGGCUUCACAGGGCAGGAUAGCUGUUAACGGCAGCCGAAGGCGACUUUAGGGACAGUGCAACAGAAAGAUACCGCCACGCAAGUGGUAAGGAUGGAAAGGUGAGGUAAGAGCUCACCAGCGGGCAGGCGACUGCCCGGCUAUGUAAACCCUAUCCGAAGCAACACCGCAUAGGAGGGCAUGAAGCGGCGGCCCGUCGCGUCCUCGGGAAGGUGGCUGGAGCCGUGCGGCGACGCACGGCCUAGAUAGAUUGUUGUUUGAUACAGAACUCGGCUUAUCAGCUUAGUC
rnacentral:RNase_P_RNA from 1 species